rnacentral:rRNA from 1 species
UACGUAGGGGGCGAGCGUUGUCCGGAUUUAUUGGGCGUAAAGAGCGUGUAGGCGGUUCGGUAAGUCUGUCGUGAAAGCCCGAGGCUCAACCUCGGAACUGCCUUCGAUACUGCGGGUCUCGAGUCCGGGAGAGGUGAGUGGAAUUCCUAGUGUAGAGGUGAAAUUCGUAGAUAUUAGGAAGAACACCAGUGGCGAAGGCGGCUCACUGGCCCGGUACUGACGCUGAGGCGCGAAAGCGUGGGGAGCAAACAGG